GAUGAAGAACGUAGCGAAAUGCGAUAAGUAAUGUGAAUUGCAGAAUUCAGUGAAUCAUCGAAUCUUUGAACGCACAUUGCGCCCCUUGGUAUUCCGGGGGGCAUGCCUGAUCGAGCGUCAUUACAACCCUCAAGCUCUGCUUGGUCUUGGGCGUCACCGGUCCCCGGUGUGCCUUAAAAUCAGUGGCGGCGCCAUCUGGCUCUAAGCGUAGUACAUACUCUCGCUACAGACGUCCGGUGGAUGCUGGCCAGCAACCCCCAAUUUAUCAAGGUUGACCUCGGAUCAGGUAGGGAUACCCGCUGAACUUAAGCAUAUCAAUAAGCGGAGGA
rnacentral:misc_RNA from 1 species